AUUUAAGUAGUUUAAAAAAAAUAUUGAUUUGUGGGGUCAAAAAUAUGAAUAAUUCAUCUUAGAUA
rnacentral:tRNA from 1 species